CUCAGAGAAGGAUAUUGAUGGUGCAGGCUCAGGAUGAAGAAGAGGGGGAAGAACACGUUUGACAGUUUUCUCAUAACUUUGCCAUGUGUUAUAAUAAAAACAAUAAACCUGACUACAAUAAUAUGCUAUAUCUUAUUAAAAGAUUCCAGUUUGCAAGAAAUCUGGAGUGUCUGACUCUGCACUAGAGCAACUCUUUGCUGAAGAAGAUCAAGUGCUGAGGAGGAGCCUUGUUCUACAGCAAAACACUGCAUCAAGCCUCCUGUCCUUCCCUCAGAAGAGCCGGUCUUCUGCUGCUGGGUUACAGGGACUGAUGAACACAGCCUUGUUCUCAUCCACUGAUGAAGCCUUCUUCACUGGAAAGCAUAAUGCUGCAAUCAAAGAGUUGAGCUUCUCCUUGAGGCGUCCUGCCAUAUACAUCAGCAACAGGUUGAAGGCAGUGGUAGAGAGUCAUGACCAUGGUAAGCAUAAAAAAAACAGCUCUCGGCAUAGUGUUCCAAUGGGUCAUGUUGUCACGGUAUGCCUAUUGUGUCAUGGCGAAAAAAUAAAGAAAACAACGCAAAUUUAAUACAGAGCAUACUGUAUACUAAUACUAUGUUUUGUUUCUAUAGAUGCUGCAAUCUAAGGUGUCACUUCAGCGUAAGGCAGAGACUUGUGGAAAAGAAGACAUGCAGAACACACUUAAUUAGUUGUUUUACACACUGAGUGUAUUUUAUGUACUAUUUGGAAUGUUUCAGUUUGUGCAAUGUUUGAGUAUAUAAAAUGUGAAAGUAAAGUAUGAUAUCAGUUAUGCUAUUGUUUUCAUUAGAUGUACUCUGUUACAGUGCACUUAUCCUUGGUAAAAGGUAGACAGAUAAAAGACAAUUUGUACACAAUUUUCAAAAUGUAUUUAUUUAUUUGUAAGGCAUAAGCCAAACUGAGCUUUUAAUUGGAGGACUGCAUGCAGGUGAUGUAUUUCGAGGCAUUUGCUGGACACAGCGAACAGGUGGAGGAAUCACGCUGGAGGACUGAAGACGUCAAUGAUCAGACUUUCACAUUUGCCACAAGAGGGAGAGAGAAGACGCUGAUGUGUGUGAAGGACUGGCGAGAUGCACACAUCUUCAUGUGAAUUACACAGAGGAGACUGAUGAAAGAGCGAGGAGAAUCAUAGAAUCAUAGAAGAGUCUUUAAUGAAACAAAACUGGGGAAACACACACAUAGGACACUGAGUAGACGUUUAAGACUGGACGCUAGACACAGGAAAACACAGGGCUAAAUAACUGGAACUAAACACGGAACACCUGGAAACAAUGAAGACAAUCAAACACGGGAAAAACUGGGUCAUGGGGAGCACAUCACAAGACACGAACAUGGGGCAGUCCAAGGGCGUGACACAUGUCUAACUUGCAUGUGCAUUUGUAUUUUCUAAAUGAUGCCUUGGGUUUAUCAGGAAAUCUAAUUCAAAGCACAACUGACAAUGAGCCAUUGGUCACAACUCAACAAGAUAGUGACAGUAACCUAUUAAGCCUGCAUAAUUAAAAUGUACUGGUGUAAAGUAGAGUUUUGCAUGUGCACGCCAUCUGAAGACC
ensembl:lncRNA